rnacentral:rRNA from 1 species
GAGACAGCAGCAGCCACGGUAAUACGUAGGGUGCAAGCGUUAAUCGGAAUUACUGGGCGUAAAGCGUGCGUAGGCGGCUUUUUAAGUCGGAUGUGAAAUCCCUGAGCUUAACUUAGGAAUUGCAUUCGAUACUGGGAAGCUAGAGUAUGGGAGAGGAUGGUAGAAUUCCAGGUGUAGCGGUGAAAUGCGUAGAGAUCUGGAGGAAUACCGAUGGCGAAGGCAGCCAUCUGGCCUAAUACUGACGCUGAGGUACGAAAGCAUGGGGAGCAAACAGGAUUAGAUACCCGAGUAGUCCCUGUCUCUUAUAA